AAAGCAGGAGGCGGAGCGGGGCCUGGCCAUGAGCACGCAGGCGCGGAGCCAGGGCGGGCGCAGAGCGGCGGAUCCCGACGGCGAGAUGCCGGCCACCGAGAAGGACCUGGCGGAGGACGCGCCCUGGAAGCGGAUCCAGCAGAACACCUUCACCCGCUGGUGCAACGAGCACCUGCGCUGCGUCAACAAGCGCAUCGGUAACCUGCAGCACGACCUGAGCGAUGGGCUGCGCCUCAUCGCCCUCCUGGAGGUGCUCAGCCAGAAGCGAAUGUACCGCAAGUACCACCAGCGGCCCACCUUCCGCCAGAUGCAGCUGGAGAACGUCUCGGUGGCCCUCGAGUUCCUGGAGCGGGAGAGCAUCAAGCUGGUCUCCAUCGAUAGUAAAGCCAUAGUUGAUGGAAACUUGAAGUUGAUCCUUGGCCUGAUAUGGACCCUUAUCCUCCACUACUCCAUUUCCAUGCCAGUGUGGGAGGAUGAAGGUGAUGAUGAUGCAAAGAAGCAGACGCCCAAGCAGAGGCUGCUGGGCUGGAUCCAGAACAAAAUUCCUUACUUGCCAAUCACAAACUUCAAUCAAAACUGGCAGGAUGGCAAAGCACUGGGGGCUCUUGUUGACAGCUGUGCUCCAGGCCUGUGCCCUGACUGGGAGACCUGGGACCCGAAGAAACCCGUUGACAACGCUCGGGAAGCCAUGCAGCAGGCGGACGACUGGCUGGGUGUGCCACAGGUUAUUACCCCUGAAGAAAUUAUCCACCCUGAUGUGGAUGAGCACUCUGUAAUGACUUACCUGUCCCAGUUCCCCAAAGCCAAGCUGAAACCAGGAGCUCCUUUAAAACCCAAACUGAAUCCAAAGAAAGCACGAGCUUAUGGCAGAGGCAUUGAGCCUCAUGGGAACAUGGUGAAGCAGCCUGCCAUCUUCACAGUAGACACCAUCAGUGCUGGUCAGGGAGACCUGAUGGUCUUCAUAGAGGAUCCAGAAGGAAACAGAGAGGAGGCAAAGAUAACUCCAUCCAGUGACAAAAAUAAGACUUAUUCAGUUCAGUAUGUGCCAAGAGUUACUGGACCUCACAAGGUCUCAGUCCUGUUUGCUGGGCAGCACAUCUCAAAAAGCCCAUUUGAAGUGAAUGUUGACAAAGCCCAGGGAGAUGCGAGCAAAGUAACAGCAAAGGGACCAGGACUGGAGGCAACAGGGAACAUUGCCAACAAGCCUACUUACUUUGACCUCUACACAGCAGGUGCUGGUGUAGGUGACGUGAUUGUGGAAGUGGAGGAUCCUCAGGGGAGAAACCUUGCUGAAGUUGUGGUAGAAGACAAAGGCAACCAAGUCUACCGUUGCACUUACAAACCUGUUCAAGCUGGUCCUCACAUUGUCAAAGUGACUUUUGCUGGGGAGGCAAUUCCCAAAACUCCUUGCACUGUUCUUGUUGGAGAAGCCUGCAAUCCCAACGCGUGUCGUGCCACAGGGAGAGGUCUGCAGCCCAAAGGUGUCCGCAUGAGGGAAACAGCUGACUUCAAGGUUGAUACAAGAGCAGCAGGGAGUGGAGACCUUGGUGUGACUAUAAAGGGACCGAAGGGCUUGGAGGAGCUGGUGAAACAAAAAGGCUUUAUGGAUGGUAUAUAUGCAUUUGAAUAUUAUCCAGCUACCCCAGGGAAGUAUGUUGUCACAAUUACAUGGGGUGGGCACAACAUCCCAAAAAGCCCUUUUGAAGUUCAGGUGGGUCAUGAAGCAGGUCCUCAGAAAGUACGAGCCUGGGGGCCAGGACUGCAUGAGGGGAUUGUGGGUAAAUCUGCUGACUUCGUGGUAGAGUCCAUUGGCACAGAAGUUGGCUCUCUUGGCUUUGCAAUAGAAGGCCCUUCUCAGGCUAAAAUUGAGUGUGAUGACAAGAAUGAUGGCUCAUGUGAUGUGAAGUAUUGGCCCAAAGAGCCUGGUGAAUAUGCUGUGCAUAUCAUGUGUGAUGAUGAGGACAUAAAAGACAGCCCCUACAUGGCCUUCAUCCGACCGGCUUCAGGAGACUUCAACCCGGAUAAGGUGAAGGCUUAUGGCCCAGGCUUGGAGAAGACUGGCUGUAUAGUGAAUAAUCCUGCUGAGUUCACAGUUGAAACCAAGGACGCUGGGAAAGCACCUCUGAAGAUGUAUGCACAGGAUGGAGAAGGAAACCCUUUUGAUAUCCAGAUAAAAAGCAAGCCUGAUGGUGUAUUUGCCUGUUCCUAUGUGCCAGUUAAACCAAUUAAGCAUACAAUUUCUGUUGUCUGGGGAGGAGCCAACGUGCCCAAUAGCCCAUUUAGGGUCCUUAUAGGUCAAGGAAGUCAUCCUCAGAAAGUGAAAGUGUUUGGACCUGGUGUGGAGAGAACGGGUCUGAAAGCCAGUGAGCCGACCCACUUCACUGUUGACUGCACAGAUGCAGGAGAAGGUGAUGUCAGUGUUGGAAUUAAGUGUGAUGCUCGUGUGGUCAGUGAUGAGGAAGAGGACAUAGAUUUUGACAUCAUCCACAAUGCUAAUGAUACAUUCACGGUGAAGUAUGCCCCACCUGCUGCUGGGCGCUACACCAUUAAAGUGCUUUUUGCAGGAGAGGAAAUUCCUGCCAGUCCAUUCAGAGUUAAAGUGGACCCCUCACACGAUGCCAGCAAAGUGAAAGCUGAAGGACCUGGGCUGAACAAAACUGGCGUGGAAAAUGGCAAGCCAACACACUUCACUGUGUUCACCAAGGGAGCUGGAAAAGCACCCCUGGAUGUGCAGUUCAGCAGCCCAGUGCCAGGAGAGGCGGUGGUAGAUGUGGAUAUCAUUGACAACUAUGACUAUUCCCACACCGUUAGGUACACUCCAAUACAGCAGGGUCCAAUGAAGAUUUUGGUAACUUAUGGUGGUGAUCCUAUCCCUAAAAGCCCUUUCACUGUGGGUGUUGCUGCUCCACUGGACCUCAGCAAAGUUAAAGUCAAUGGACUUGAAAACAGAGUGGAAGUAGGGAAGGAUCAGGAAUUUGUAAUUGACACCAAAGGAGCUGGUGGGCAAGGUAAACUGGAUGUUCGUAUUUCCAGUCCAAUGAGGAAAGCUGUGCCCUGUCUGGUGGAACCUGUUCUGGGUAAGGAGUGCAGCACUGCAAAAUAUAUCCCAAGGGAAGAAGGAUUGUAUGUGGUGGAUGUGAGUUAUGAUGGCAACCCAAUCCCAGGCAGCCCCUACACUGUGGAGGCCACACUACCUCCAGACCCCUCCAAGGUAAAAGCUCAUGGUCCAGGUCUCCGAGGGGGACUCGUUGGAAAACCAGCCCAGUUCACAAUAGAUACCAAAGGAGCAGGAACUGGAGGUUUGGGUUUGACAGUAGAAGGCCCAUGUGAAGCUAAAAUUGAAUGCUCAGACAAUGGCGAUGGAACCUGCUCUGUCUCCUACCUGCCUACAAAGCCUGGAGAGUAUUUUGUAAACAUCCUCUUUGAAGAAGUUCAUAUUCCUGGUUCACCAUUUAAGGCAGACAUAGAAAUGCCAUUUGAUGUCUCUAAAGUCAUUGCCACGGGCCCGGGUCUGGAAUGUGGUAAAGUGGGUGAGGCAGGGCUGCUGAACGUCGACUGCACAGAAGCAGGUCCUGGGGACCUGCGGGUGGACAUGGUGUCAGAUUCUGGUUCCAAAGCUGAAAUUCAGAUCGAUGAUAACAAAGACGGGACCUACGUUGUAACAUAUAUACCACUCUCAGCUGGCAUGUACACAAUCAAGAUGAGAUAUGGAGGAGAGCAAGUGCCUAAAUUCCCAGCCCGUGUCAAAGUGGAGCCAGCUGUGGACACAAGCAGAGUUAAAGUCUUUGGUCCAGGAGUGGAAGGGAAAGAUGUCUUCCGAGAAGCUACAACUGAGUUCACUGUGGAUGCUCGACCUCUAACAAAGUCUGGUGGUGACCACAUCAGGACACAGAUCACGAGCCCAUCUGGCUCCCCUGCAGACUGUCUCAUCCAGGACAAUGCUGAUGGAACCUAUUUAGUAGAGUACACGCCUUUUGAAAAGGGUCCACACACAGUCAGUGUAACAUAUGAUGGGGUGCCUGUGCCAAACAGUCCCUUCAGAGUGAACGUGACAGAAGGCUGCCAUCCAUCACGUGUGAAGGCACAAGGGCCUGGCCUUAAAGAAGCUUUCACAAAUCAGCCAAAUGCCUUUUCAGUUGUCACCAGAGGAGCAGGAAUUGGUGGCCUUGGGAUAACUGUUGAAGGACCUUCAGAGUCUAAAAUUAGCUGUAAAGAUAACAAGGAUGGGAGUUGCAGUGCAGAGUAUGUUCCUUAUGUUCCAGGAGAGUACGAUGUGAACAUCACGUAUGGGGGAGAGCAUAUUCCUGGCAGUCCUUUCAAGGUUCCUGUGAAGGAUGUUGUGGAUCCCAGCAAGGUGAAGACAGCAGGACCAGGUCUAGGAACAGCUGUUCGAGCCAAAAUCCCACAGUCCUUCACUGUAGACACCAGCAAGGCAGGAUUAGCACCCCUGGAGGUGGUGGUGGCAGGACCCAGAGUGGAUGAGACGGAUUCCCAGGGAUGGCGCUCCCCAUUGAAAGCGAUUUCAGAUUUCUUUAAUGGUGGCCCUGAGACAGGAAUUGUGGAGCCUGUUAAUAUAGUAGACAAUGGAGAUGGCACCCACACUGUGGUGUACACCCCAACGCAGGAGGGACCCUAUAUGAUCACUGUCAAGUAUGCUGAUGAAGAGAUUCCUCGUAGUCCUUUCAAGGUGAAGGUGCUUCCUACAUAUGAUGCCAGUAAAGUGACGGCAAGCGGACCAGGGCUCAGUUCCUAUGGCAUACCUGCCAGCCUGCCUGUGGAGUUUGCUGUGGAUGCUAAGGAUGCUGGGCAGGGACUUCUGGCUGUACAGAUCACUGACCAAGAGGGCAAACCCAAGAGAGUGGACAUACAUGACAACAAGGAUGGCACUUACACAGUCACCUAUGUCCCUGACAAAACGGGCCGCUAUACGAUUGGCGUGAAGUACGGUGGAGAUGAUAUCCCCUCCUCUCCCUAUCGGAUCCGGGCAUCUCCAGCUGGGGAUGCCAGCAAGUGUUUGGCCACAGGUCCUGGAAUUGCACCCACUGUGAAGACUGGUGAGGAGGUUGGUUUUGUGGUAGACGCCAAAUCAGCAGGGAAGGGAAAAGUGACGUGCACCGUCCUGACACCAGAUGGGACAGAAGCUGAAGCAGAUGUUGUUGAAAAUGAGGAUGGGACUUAUGAUAUCUUCUACACUGCUGCCAAACCAGGAACCUAUGUGAUUUAUGUCCGCUUCGGUGGGGUGGACAUUCCCAACAGUCCUUUCACCGUCAUGGCUGUAGAUGCAGAUGAUGCUGCCGUGCGGUCGCAGGAGCCACUGGGUGCCUCUCCCCCUGGAUUCCGCCCUUGGGUGACCGAAGAAGCUUAUGUCCCGGUUGGAGACAUGAACGGCAUGGGAUUCAGGCCCUUUGAUAUGGUGAUCCCCUUUGCUGUAAGGAAAGGAGAAAUAACAGGUGAAGUACACAUGCCCUCUGGGAAGACGGAUACGCCAGAUAUUGUGGAUAACAAAGAUGGCACAGUAACAGUGAGAUACGCUCCCACUGAGGUUGGGUUGCAUGAAAUGCACAUAAAAUACAUGGGAAAGCACAUCCCAGAGAGCCCUCUGCAGUUCUAUGUGAAUUAUCCAAACAGUGGCAGUGUGUCUGCUUAUGGGCCUGGCCUCAUUUAUGGGGUUGCCAAUAAACCAGCAACUUUCACCAUUGUUACAGAAGAUGCAGGCGAGGGUGGGCUGGACUUGGCUAUUGAAGGACCUUCAAAAGCAGAGAUCAGCUGCAUUGAUAACAAAGAUGGGACCUGCACAGUAACAUACCUGCCUACUCUGCCUGGGAACUACAGCAUCCUAGUCAAGUACAAUGACAAGCACAUCCCAGGCAGUCCAUUCACAGCCAAGAUCACAGAUGAUAACCGGAGGCGGUCCCAUGUUAAGCUGGGUUCAGCUGCUGACUUUUUGCUGGACAUCAAUGAGACUGAUCUCAGCCUCCUAACAGCCAGCAUUAAAGCCCCAUCGGGUCGUGAUGAACCUUGUCUUCUGAAGAGGCUACCCAACAACCACAUUGGCAUCUCAUUCAUUCCACGGGAAGUAGGAGAACAUCUGGUUAGCAUCAAGAAAAAUGGAAGCCAUGUACCAAACAGCCCUGUAACAAUCAUGGUGGUCCAGUCUGAGAUAGGAGAUGCCAGACGAGCAAGAGUUUUUGGACGUGGCUUGGUAGAAGGGCGAACUUUUGAAAUGUGUGACUUCAUUGUAGACACAAGAGAUGCAGGUUAUGGUGGGAUCUCACUGGCAGUUGAAGGACCCAGCAAGGUAGACAUCCAAACUGAAGACCUAGAAGAUGGAACUUGCAAAGUGUCCUAUUUUCCAACUGUACCUGGUGUGUACAUUGUGUCCACUAAAUUUGCAGAUGAACAUAUUCCAGGCAGCCCAUUUACUGUGAAGAUAAGUGGUGAAGGAAGAGUUAGGGAGAGCAUCACACGAACAAGACGAGCUCCUUCUGUUGCAACAGUAGGAAGCAUAUGUGAUCUGAAUCUAAAAAUUCCAGAAAUUGACUGUGGGGAUAUGACAGCCCAGGUAACUAGUCCCUCUGGAAGAAAUUCUGACGCCGAAAUCGUAGAAGCUGACAAAAAUACCUAUUGCGUCCGCUUUGUGCCACAAGAAAUGGGGGUCCACACUGUGGAUGUCAAAUACAGAGGGCAGCCAGUGCCAGGCAGCCCAUUCCAGUUCACUGUGGGGCCACUGGGUGAGGGAGGAGCCCACAAAGUGAGAGCUGGAGGCCCAGGACUGGAGCGUGGAGAGACAGGUGUCCCAGCUGAGUUCAGCAUAUGGACACGGGAAGCUGGAGCUGGAGGACUGUCUAUUGCUGUAGAAGGCCCAAGUAAAGCAGAAAUUGCCUUUGAGGAUCAUAAAGAUGGAUCCUGUGGUGUGUCAUACAUAGUUCAAGAGCCAGGCAACUAUGAGGUGUCCAUAAAGUUCAAUGAUGAGCACAUUCCUGAAAGCCCCUACCUGGUUCCCAUCAUCGCCCCCUCCGAUGAUGCUCGCAGGCUCACUGUCACUAGUCUUCAGGAGUCUGGAUUAAAAGCUAAUCAGCCAGCAUCCUUUGCUAUAAGGCUGAACGGGGCAAAGGGCAAGAUUGAUGCUAAAGUCCACAGCCCUUCUGGAGCUGUAGAAGAGUGCCACGUGUCUGAGCUGGAGCCAGACAAGUAUGCCGUGCGGUUCAUCCCCCACGAGAACGGCAUCCACUCCAUUGAUGUGAAGUUCAACGGGAGCCACGUGGUGGGCAGCCCCUUCAAAGUGCGAGUGGGCGAGCCGGGGCAGGCGGGGAAUCCUGCCCUUGUCACCGCCUACGGCUCCGGCCUGGAGAGCGGUACCACCGGGUUGCAGUCGGAGUUUUCAUUAACACGACCAAGGCUGUCCAGGUACCCUCUCUGUUACAAUUGAAGGGCCAUCAAAGGUGAAAAUGGACUGCCAGGAAACUCCAGAAGGUUACAAAGUCAUGUACACACCCAUGGCUCCAGGAAACUAUUUAAUUGGAGUUAAAUAUGGUGGACCUAACCACAUAGUGGGCAGCCCCUUCAAGGCAAAGGUUACAGGACAGCGACUGAUUAGCCCAGGAAGCGUCAACGAAACUUCUUCCAUCCUUGUCGAGUCAGUGACAAGGUCAUCGACUGAAACUUGCUAUAGUGCCAUUCCCAAAUCCACCUCGGAUGCUAGCAAAGUGGUUUCCCGGGGAGCAGGACUCUCAAGGCUUUUGUGGGUCAGAAAAGCUCCUUUCCGUGGAUGUGCAGAAAGCAGGUUCAAAUAUGUUGUUAGUUGGUGUCCAUGGACCUACAAUACCAUGCGAAGAGGUGUCCAUAAGCAAUUUGGGCAGCCAUCAGUACAACGUGACUUAUGUUGUCAAGGAAAGGGGUGAAUAUAUUCUGGCAGUGAAGUGGGGUGAUGAGCACAUCCCUGGGAGUCCCUUCCAUGUCACCGUUCCUUAAACUCAAUGAGCGUCAGGAGUCCAUCUUUGUGUUUCCAGUUCAGAUGUAGAGUUAUACUGGGUGCAGUCCUGUUGCAAAAUGCAGUAUCUAGAUACCACACAGCUCACAUUUCAAUACAGUCAGAACUAGACUCUGUAACUUUAUUUUUACAAGCAUUUCACUUCUACUUACCAACCAUAAUGUCAAUCUGUUUAACAUCCUCCUCAAAUUGUACCUUUGCAAUACUGUCCAGGUCACUGUUAAUGUUUGGAGAAUCAUGUGGAUAACUAGACACUAAUUUCCUGUGUGGAUGUUAAAGACUUUAGAUGUUAAUUGAAAACUGGAAUUUGUCUUCGUAAUUGGGUAUCUUAACUACUGAUUUUAUUUGACUGGAGACUUUACAUUUUAGUUAUGGAAUAUGACUUGGGCUGUCCCCAGUUCACAUUCUUUUCUGUAAAGAAAUGAGGUAAAACUGGUACUAUAAUGGGUGCCUUUGUAUACUUGAUCAAUUUUAGCGCUUAACAUUAUAAAAAGUUACUAAAGUGGCUUUACAACUCAAAUUUAAAAUGUUUCUGAAAAUGCUUUGCUAAUGGUUUACAUUUAGAAGUUUAUCUUUUAUAGCAAACCAAAAGCAGACUGAAAAUUACUUCCUGGAAGCUUUCAGCCUUUCUGUGUUAAUACUCUGUAAAUCUAGACAGGUAGCUUUUUGGCCAUUGAUGCUAGCAAUGCAGUUUUUAAUUAGCUUGGGACUCUGGUGAGUUUUUUGUAACUUUACAGGUAAUUCUCUACACUCUUUUUGAUAUAUUUUAAGAACAAACCCCCAGUUUGGCUGGGUUAAAUAAAGCCCCUAAACUUGCCAAGCCAGAUGUAGCUCUCACCCUGGUGAUCCAAAACAGAUGCAGGUCAGAGCACAGCGCAUGUUGGGAAGAUGUUCAGCAGUUUCCCUGGAGGCUGUGGGCCAGGCAAGUAGCCGAGAUGGUGCAGAGAAACCUGGGCAUGGGACCCCACAUUUGUAGUCAGAUUAUGGGGCAGGAGAGGUUGCGAAUUUACCCAUAAUAACAAUACCAAUCAACAAACCCAUCUUUGGUGCAUGUUGUUUAUUAUAUCUCAGUUCAAUAACAUGCCUGGAGCAUGCUCAUCUCUCCUAAAAUCCCCUUCGUGCUGCAAAAGGCAUUCCUGCUGAGGGCCAGGAGUGAAAAACUUCCAUUUUAACUUCUCUGUUUGUCCAGGAUUACACCAUGCUAAUUCCCAAGUGUGUAUCUGAAUUGCUGUCAGCUGCUGGGGCUUUAGUAAACUCUCCAAAUGAGCUUUAACUCUGCGAUUAGGAGAAGGUAGGAUUUGUUUAAAACUUGUUGAAAUGUCAUUGUCUGUCCCUAGGGGGAAGUUCACGCUUACGGUUCUGUAGUUACGUGUGGAUGCACUACUCUCUAGCACAGUCAUGGGGGAAAUAAAGGAAGGUUGGGUUUUUUUACUGUGCUGUUUUUGUGCCUUAAUGUGAAAUGCUCACAACAUUGUAAACUAGGAAGUAAAAACAAAAUAAACUGGAAUAAAAUGCAGGAUUGUAAUAUUGUAUCUUAUAACUUAUUAAAUAGAAAUGUUUGCUUCAUUAAAAUGUGCAUGUUCAAAA